rnacentral:rRNA from 1 species
CUCUUUGGACACUCGUAAACAGGUGGUGCAUGGUUGUCGUCAGCUCGUGUCGUGAGAUGUUGGGUUAAGUCCCGCAACGAGCGCAACCCUCGUUCUAUGUUGCCAGCACGUAAUGGUGGGAACUCAUGGGAUACUGCCGGGGUCAACUCGGAGGAAGUCGGAGGAAGGUGGGGAUGACGUCAAAUCAUCAUGCCCCUUAUGUCUUGGGCUUCACGCA